CUGACAUCAAAAGCCUCAUAGAUACAUUAAUCAUGAAGAAUUUCUCAAGCAUAGCUGGCUUUAUAUUUCUGCUCUUCGUUGUUCUGGGCACUAAGACAAGAGGACAAAAAGUAUGCCUAGUUCCACAGGCAGUUACGAAACCUUGUGAUCCAACAGAUUGCAACACCCAAUGCUCUCUACACUGGGUAGGAAUUCCAACACCUGGUAAUAUUAAAGGACCACUUCUUGGAGCAAAUUGCUUCAGUGACAGUUGUUUUUGCACUUUUUGUUGUUUGCUUGGCUGCAAUUAGAUCUCUCCUUUCUUGAAUUCUCAUAUACUAGCUAGCUAUUCCUAAUUAGUGGAAUUUAUGGAGAUAACCCUUCUUUAUUACU